AUGGGGGAGGUCUCCCACCAGCACGUCGGGCACCUCGUAGCGCGGGCGCAGCGGGCGCAGCUCCCGGAGCCGCAGGCGGGUGAUGUUGGAGUGCAGAGCCUGCAGCUCCAACUGCAACGGGACCUGGGGAGGGGGGGGGGAAAAGGGGGGGGGGGGGGGGGGAGGUUGCUUUGCACGAGAGUUUUGCACGAGGAAGGGUUGUGCAUCAGGAGGGCUUUGCACACGCGGUUGGCAGCGGGGAGGGGGGUGCAUGGGGGCUUUGAAGGGCAUUUUCCACGUGUGGGGUGGCUUUGCACGAGGGUUUUGCACGAGGAACGUGUGCCGGGUGUUUGUUUGCACGGGGAGCUCACAAUGGCGUUGCAGAAUGUGUUUGCACGGAGACGGCGCAGCCGGGCUUUGCACGAGCAUUUUGCACGAGGAAGGCUCUGCACAGCUCGGUUUUGCACAAGUGUUUUGCGUGAGAGCUGUGCACGACUUGCUUUGCUCGAGGAUGGUGCGUUGGUGUUGCACCGCGUUGUUUUGCACAGGGAGGGGGGUGUUUCACGAGGUCUGUGCACCGCGGGUGUUGCACGAGUGUGUUGCACUAGGGUUGCACGUCUCACUUGUGCACGCGGGGGUUUUGCACAAAGUCCUUUGCACGAGGAACCUGCGGUGUGUUUUGCACAAGGGCUUUGCACGGUGGGGCUUUGCACGGCGGGCUUUGCACCAGGGCACAUUUGGGGGGGAG
rnacentral:lncRNA from 1 species